AGAGGAGAAGUUUAUUAUAAUAUUUGACCUGCAAUCAAAAGAAGGUAUUUUAUCACUACCCUCCUCUA
rnacentral:tRNA from 1 species